AUUGUAUAGUGACAGAUCAUUUCUAGACUUAUGGUGAACAGUGUAUAGUAACUAAAUGAAAUCACUAUGUUGGACACUGAAACUAAACGAUAAGUCAAAUACAUUUCAACUGAAAAAAAUCCCCUGUUAUGAAGGUCUGAGGAAUCUGUGUCAGCUCUUUAGAAAUGCUAGACCUGCAGGGAUGCACAUCAACACAUGUGGAUGUGGAAGAAAAUUCAGUGACAGAGCAUUUUUCUUCAGGCCAAAGCAGACCACUAACCAUAAACACAUGUUAUCAGAAGUUAACACCUGUGUUUGUCUCAGACCUAGACUUUCCAGAUGAUAUGAUUUCUUGAGGCAUUUGUGAAAGAUGUAAUGGACUUAAGCAGUGGCAGCUGCACAGUGCUGGAGAGACUGUGAGGAGAUACCCCACAUCCAAGGACAGAGAAGCCCCAGCAAGACUGUAGGCACUGGAGUGGCAGCUGUGCAGCACUGGAGUGACUUUGAGAAGAUACCCAGCAUCCAACGGAAGAAGAUAAAUUGCUGUGGAUAUUGAUGAUUGAAGGGAAGAAGAAAGCAAUGAGGAUCACCAAGGAUUUUAAGCUAUAGGCUUCAAAAAUCUGGCUUGGAACACUCAAAAGACUGCAGACAUAAGAAUAAGUCAUCAUCGGUAACCAACGUUAUUUUUCUUCUAGUUCAUUCAGUAAAGAUUCAACUAAAUUUUCAAUGCAUGUAUAUCUUAAUAUCAUAUGACAGUCAUUUUAAAAGAAUUGUGAAAUUGUUUUUGGCAGCCUUUCAUGUUUACCAGCAUACCUCGGUGGACCACCUUCCAAAGUCAAUUAAAUCACAGCAUAUUGCCUGAGAACUGAACCUCAUGAGCUGCUUAUGCCGAGGUGUUGCUUCUUUAUUCAUUUCUGGAAUAAAUAUCAAAAGAGAAUGUUAUUAUCACUCAGUCUACAUUUCUAGUUCUCUCCUGUUCCCAUUACCUAUAAUGUUUAGCCUAUGUGUUUCUUCCUUUUUAGAUGUCACUCAUCUGUCAUAACUUUCCUAAAGGCUCCCUCCUUUAAAAAAACAAACAAACAAAAAAAAAAAACCUCUACCCAUUCUCCUCAGAAAGUGGAAUUUUCCUCCUGUGAGCCACCAUGUCAUGUUGUAUGUCCACUGUUUGUUCAUUUAUCAUAAUCUUGACUCUAUCAUCAUUGAUUUUAUAUUUAACAAUUACUACUCAAAUUGUAUCUCUUAAUAAAACUGAAAAACUAAACUGA